GUGCUUGCUUCAGCAGCACAUAUGCUAAAAUUGGAACGAUAGAGAAGAUUAGCAUUGCCCCUGCCCAAGGAUGACAUGGAAAUUCAUGAAGCAUUCCAUAUUUUU
rnacentral:snRNA from 1 species